CAUAUAGUUUUGAUUAUUUGCUCAGGAUGAACGCUGGCGGCGUGCUAAUACAUGCAAGUCGAACGCUUUGUGGUUCAACUGAUUUGAAGAGCUUGCUCAGAUAUGACGAUGGACAUUGCAAAGAGUGGCGAACGGGUGAGUAACACGUGGGAAACCUACCUCUUAGCAGGGGAUAACAUUUGGAAACAGAUGCUAAUACCGUAUAACAAUAGCAACCGCAUGGUUGCUACUUAAAAGAUGGUUCUGCUAUCACUAAGAGAUGGUCCCGCGGUGCAUUAGUUAGUUGGUGAGGUAAUGGCUCACCAAGACGAUGAUGCAUAGCCGAGUUGAGAGACUGAUCGGCCACAAUGGGACUGAGACACGGCCCAUACUCCUACGGGAGGCAGCAGUAGGGAAUCUUCCACAAUGGGCGAAAGCCUGAUGGAGCAACGCCGCGUGUGUGAUGAAGGGUUUCGGCUCGUAAAACACUGUUGUAAGAGAAGAAUGACAUUGAGAGUAACUGUUCAAUGUGUGACGGUAUCUUACCAGAAAGGAACGGCUAAAUACGUGCCAGCAGCCGCGGUAAUACGUAUGUUCCAAGCGUUAUCCGGAUUUAUUGGGCGUAAAGCGAGCGCAGACGGUUAUUUAAGUCUGAAGUGAAAGCCCUCAGCUCAACUGAGGAAUUGCUUUGGAAACUGGAUGACUUGAGUGCAGUAGAGGAAAGUGGAACUCCAUGUGUAGCGGUGAAAUGCGUAGAUAUAUGGAAGAACACCAGUGGCGAAGGCGGCUUUCUGGACUGUAACUGACGUUGAGGCUCGAAAGUGUGGGUAGCAAACAGGAUUAGAUACCCUGGUAGUCCACACCGUAAACGAUGAGUGCUAGGUGUUUGAGGGUUUCCGCCCUUAAGUGCCGCAGCUAACGCAUAAGCACUCCGCC
rnacentral:rRNA from 1 species